rnacentral:rRNA from 1 species
CGCGUAGGCGGGCAGCCAAGUCCGGGGUGAAAUCUUUCGGCUCAACCGGAAAAUAGCCUUGGAUACUGGCUGUCUCGAGCGAGGUAGGGGCGGGUGGAACUUCCGGUGGAGCGGUGAAAUGCGUUGAUAUCGGAAGGAACGCCGGUGGCGAAAGCGACCCGCUGGACCUCUUCUGACGCUGAGGCGCGAAAGCCAGGGGAGCAAGCG